CAGCCGCCGCGGUAAUACGUAGGGUGCGAGCGUUAAUCGGAUUUACUGGGCGUAAAGCGUGCGCAGGCGGCCCGUUAAGACAGGUGUGAAAUCCCUGGGCUCAACCUAGGAAUUGCGCUUGUGACUGGCGGGCUCGAGUACGGUAGAGGGGGGUGGAAUUCCUGGUGUAGCAGUGGAAUGCGUAGAGAUCAGGAGGAACACCGAUGGCGAAGGCAGCCCCCUGGGCCUGUACUGACGCUCAUGCACGAAAGCGUGGGGAGCAAACAGGAUUAGAUACCCUGGUAGUCCACGCCCUAAACGAUGGGUACUAGCCGUUUGGUGCGCGAUAGCGCUGAGUGGCGAAGCUAACGCGUGAAGUACCCCGCCUGGGGAGUACGGCCGCAAGGUUGAAACUUAAAGGAAUUGGCGGG
rnacentral:rRNA from 1 species